rnacentral:rRNA from 1 species
GGCAAGCACGUAAACUCUCUUGCGCAGAGCUUACCUUACGAAGAUAAACAAAUUGCACGCAUGGCUGUCGUCAACUCGUGUCGUGAGAUGUUGGGUUAAGUCCCGCAACGAGCGCAACCCCUGUCCUUAGUUGCAUAUCUAAGGAGACUGCCGGUACAAAACCGGAGGAAGGUGGGGAUGACGUCAAGUCAGCAUGGCUCUUACGUCCAGGGCUACACACACGCUACAAUGGAUAGUACAAUGAGAUGCCACCCGGCGACGGGGAGCGGACCUCUUAAAGCUAUCCUCAGUUCAGAUUGUACUCUGCAACUCGAGUGCAUGAAGGUGGAGUUGCUAGUAACCGCGUGUCAGCAUAGCGCGGUGAAUAUGUUCCCGGGUCUUGUACACACGCCC